rnacentral:piRNA from 1 species
UCCACACGUCUUAAAUGAGUACUUCCAUC